UGUUUGCGGUGCCCAGCUGACACGGGUCUGGAGGCUCACACGCGGGACCCGAGCUCUGGAGGAGUAAAUCAUCCCCACUUUAAACCCACCCUCUGCCAGGGCUCCAGUUGGGAACUCUUUGCGUUGCUCUGAACACAUGAGAUUGGGACAAUAGCUGGAGUGGAUUAUUCAUUCCUGUAGGGCAAUACUCCCCUGUAUGGGCUUCAGGAUGCAGUUGGAAGCUUGGGAACAAAGCGGGCAUCGAAUGUCAAGGAUCCUUUUGAGGAAGAAAUAGUUCUGCUAGCACCCCAUGCUUGGACUUUGGAGGGCAUGGGGCAGUGGUCUGAUAUGAAAGCCCUGUCCCUGCAGAUGGAAACUCUCCUCUGUAUCCUGCGCCUUGCAAGAGAAGCAGCGAAGGGACACUCGAAGUAACCAAGCAUCUGGCAUCAAGCCUGACAACCCACUUCACACUAUGUGAAGGAAAGUUUGUUCCAAACCACAUACUUUGUGGUGCUCAAUACUAGUGUCAAACUGGUUUGAACUGUCCCAGGUCUAAAAUAAAGAUCUCUAUUGUGGUGUGACAGUGA